rnacentral:rRNA from 1 species
AAUGAACGCUGGCAACAGGCUUAACACAUGCAAGUGGUACGUUUUGACUCUUAAUGGGUUAAAAAGUCGCAAACGGGUGAGUAACACGUGAGAAUCUACCAACAAGCUCGGCAUACUGUUGUUUCUUUUUUACUAUUUAGAUUAAAUAGUAAAAAAAAGAAUACACAAAUACCGAAUAAAAAAAGGCUAUAGCCGCUAGUUGAUGAGCUCGCGCAAGAUUAGGUAGUUGGUGAGGUAACAGCUCACAAAGCCAAAGAUCUUUAGCCGAUUUGAGAGGAUGAUCGGCCACACUGGGACUGAGACACGGCCCAGACACUUUUAAGUGGCAGCAGUGGGGAAUUUUGGACAAUGAACGCAAGUUUGAUCCAGCCAUGUUGCAUGAGGGAAGAAGGCUCUUUUGGUCGUAAACCUUUAUUUUAGAAAAGGAUAAUGACGUAUUUCUAAAGAUUAGUCCCGGCUAAUUCUGUGCCAGCCGCCGCAGUAAAAC